UCCUACGGGGAGCAGCAGUGGGGAAUAUUGCACAAUGGGCGCAAGCCUGAUGCAGCAACGCCGCGUGAGGGAUGACGGCCUUCGGGUUGUAAACCUCUUUUAGCAGGGAAGAAGCGAAAGUGACGGUACCUGCAGAAAAAGCGCCGGCUAACUACGUGCCAGCAGCCGCGGUAAUACGUAGGGCGCAAGCGUUAUCCGGAAUUAUUGGGCGUAAAGAGCUCGUAGGCGGUUUGUCGCGUCUGCUGUGAAAUCCCGAGGCUCAACCUCGGGUCUGCAGUGGGUACGGGCAGACUAGAGUGCGGUAGGGGAGAUUGGAAUUCCUGGUGUAGCGGUGGAAUGCGCAGAUAUCAGGAGGAACACCGAUGGCGAAGGCAGAUCUCUGGGCCGUAACUGACGCUGAGGAGCGAAAGGGUGGGGAGCAAACAGGCUUAGAUACCCUGGUAGUCCACCCCGUAAACGUUGGGAACUAGUUGUGGGGUCCAUUCCACGGAUUCCGUGACGCAAAUAACACAUUAAGU
rnacentral:rRNA from 1 species